rnacentral:rRNA from 1 species
UGCAGUCGAGCGAACGGAUAGGAGCUUGCUCCUUUGAAGUUAGCGGCGGACGGGUGAGUAACACGUGGGUAACCUACCUAUAAGACUGGAAUAACUUCGGGAAACCGGAGCUAAUGCCGGAUAACAUUUGGAACCGCAUGGUUCUAAAGUAAAAGAUGGUUUUGCUAUCACUUAUAGAUGGACCCGCGCCGUAUUAGCUAGUUGGUAAGGUAACGGCUUACCAAGGCAACGAUACGUAGCCGACCUGAGAGGGUGAUCGGCCACACUGGAACUGAGACACGGUCCAGACUCCUACGGGAGGCAGCAGUAGGGAAUCUUCCGCAAUGGACGAAAGUCUGACGGAGCAACGCCGCGUGAGUGAUGAAGGUUUUCGGAUCGUAAAACUCUGUUAUUAGGGAAGAACAAAUGUGUAAGUAACUGUGCACAUCUUGACGGUACCUAAUCAGAAAGCCACGGCUAACUACGUGCCAGCAGCCGCGGUAAUACGUAGGUGGCAAGCGUUAUCCGGAAUUAUUGGGCGUAAAGCGCGCGUAGGCGGUUUCUUAAGUCUGAUGUGAAAGCCCACGGCUCAACCGUGGAGGGUCAUUGGAAACUGGGAAACUUGAGUACAGAAGAGGAAAGUGGAAUUCCAUGUGUAGCGGUGAAAUGCGCAGAGAUAUGGAGGAACACCAGUGGCGAAGGCGACUUUCUGGUCUGUAACUGACGCUGAUGUGCGAAAGCGUGGGAUCAAACAGGAUUAGAUACCCUGGUAGUCCACGCCGUAACGAUGAGUGCU